rnacentral:rRNA from 1 species
GCGUAAAGGGCUCGCAGGCGGUUUCUUAAGUCUGAUGUGAAAGCCCCCGGCUCAACCGGGGAGGGUCAUUGGAAACUGGGGAACUUGAGUGCAGAAGAGGAGAGUGGAAUUCCACGUGUAGCGGUGAAAUGCGUAGAGAUGUGGAGGAACACCAGUGGCGAAGGCGACUCUCUGGUCUGUAACUGACGCUGAGGAGCGAAAGCGUGGGGAGCGAACAGGAUUAGAUACCCUGGUAGUCCACGCCGUAAACGAUGAGUGCUAAGUGUUAGGGGCUUUCCGCCCCUUAUGGCUGCACCUAACGCAUUAAGCACUCGGCCUGGGGAUUCCGGCCGCAAGACUGAAUCUCAAUGAAAUUGACGGGGGCC